GAUCCAGGGGACAUGGCAAAAAGAACCUGAAUUCAUCAUGAGGAAGGAACCCAUCACAAGGAAGCAACCUAUGAAGGCAGCCAUUAGGCAAGGGACAUCUGAGAUGGGCACUGCAAGCAUGUUCAAGAAAACACCUCUUCUGCCAGCUAGAGGCUCCCCCGCCCAGUGGAGGAGGAAUCAAAUUCCACCAUCUUUAAUCUGGCUACACCAUAUUUGAAUAAUAAUCCUGAAAUUCACAUUGAUGCUCAAGAAGUCGCUUCUUCAAAACUUUAAGGUAACAAUUAAGUAUUCCAUUGUCAUGGCUCAAUUAAAUGGUUUGGCCUGAGAAAAUUGGGGAUUGUAAAGUGAGGAUGGAAUGUGCUUUGAUCCUUUUUCCAGGGUUAUUGUUUCAUUAAUAAAUGAACAUGUCAUUUGUCUCACCAGAGGGAGCUCAUGCCCUCCAGGCUUUUUUCCCUUUUUUGUUCAGGUUUUAUAAAGAUGAAUUUCCAGUGCUCUGAAAUACCAUGGAUUAGUAGUUAAGCCUGACAGCACUUCGGGGAGUAGCGAGCUUAAAGUGCCUCACACAGGUCUCCAAAGCACUUGUUUACUAAUAGAGGAAAUCAGCAACCGUCUGCAGCUGCUGAUAUCGCAUUACCAUUUGGAAAGACAGUAGCUGAGAUAACAAAUCACACAGUUUUAAUAAUUACUCCUGCAUUCCCGUUUUUUGUUUCCUGCAUAACUGUAAAGGCUGGAUUUCUUCCAAAUAAACAGAUAAAAACAGUAUGGAACUUUUAUCUUUUAAUGAUAAUGACAACUCUCCAGAACUUACAUUAGAAG
rnacentral:lncRNA from 1 species